AGGUGAGGUAAGAGCUCACCGCGUAAUUGGUAACAGUUGCGGUCCAGGCAAACCCCAUCCGGAGCAAGGCCUAAUAGGGGUCUAUAAGGUUCCGAACCUGACCUGGGUUGGCCGCUCGAUCUUGUCGGCAACGAUAAGACUAGAUAGAUGGUCGUCGCUCAGCCUAUAUGGCUGACUACAGAACUCGGCUUACAGUUCCCCUCGACCG
rnacentral:RNase_P_RNA from 1 species